UUGCGAACGGGUGAGUAACACGUGGGUGAUCUGCCCUGCACUUCGGGAUGAGCCUGGGAAACUGGGUCUAAUACCGGAUAGGACGAUGGUUUGGAUGCCAUUGUGGAAAGUUUUUCGGUGUGGGAUGAGCUCGCGGCCUAUCAGCUUGUUGGUGGGGUAAUGGCCUACCAAGGCGUCGACGGGUAGCCGGCCUGAGAGGGUGUACGGCCACAUUGGGACUGAGAUACGGCCCAG
rnacentral:rRNA from 1 species